AGAGCAUGAGAGGGGGAGGGUCAGAGAGAGAGGGGAAACACAGAAUCUGAAGCAGACUCUAGGCACUGAGCUGUCAGCGUAGAGCCUGACAUGGUGCUCAAACUUGCAAACUGUGAGAUCAUGACCUGAGCCAGUUGCCGCUUAACCGACUGAGCCACCCAGGUGCCCCAUGGGGGAUUCUCUUAAAUGCUAGUAAAAAAACCCAGUAUGAGCAUUGAUUAAUAUUCAAACUACUACUGUUGCAACAUCACAUCUCUUCCUAUGCUGAAGAGAGAACAUAUGUGUAGGUCAAUAGGCAGGAGAGCUUGUGGACUGUAAUGGGUUGUAUGAAUGGACUGUGUGGUGAAAAAGGGUGGGAGGAGAUGAGGCUGAGGGGAUCAGAGUUACAUAAUCAUGACAUAUAUCUGCCUGUGGAAUCUAACUUUAUCCUGAAGGAGGUGCUGAAAUGUUCAAAGUUGGCAUGUAAUGCAGUGGGACAGAAAGAUCUCUUUGGUAAUCAUUUGAUUGGAGCAGGAGGAGAUUCCUGACAGGAAGAGCACAUAGGAUGCAUGGAAAUCACCCAGGCAAGAUAAGAGCCCUGACUGAUAGACUCUUCACCUUAACUGUGAUAUAAAAUGCAAAGUACAAAUUUCACUGGAAUAAGACUUUUUACUUCAACUGCAACAACACUACUGAUAUUCAGAAUUUGGGCAUCUGAUAUGGGCUUCUAUGAAUUAUGGUGCUCAUGAGGCCAAAAGCUUUAAACCAUGUAAUACCUUUCAAGGGUAACUGCACAUUCUCCAGCUACCCACUAUGUACAAGACAUCAGUGCUCCCUUGCUAGAACAGGACUGGUGGGCUGGGAUCCCUUCAGGAGAUACUGUAACAAUGAAGGCCUGCUUCAGUCUCCAUGGACAGAAGUGAGUAGGGGACGCUUGCCAAUGGCUCUGGUAAUCCAAAGACUGUAGCUCUGGAAACCAUGCAUGUCCUUGGCAUG
rnacentral:lncRNA from 1 species